rnacentral:lncRNA from 1 species
GGGUUUUUUCGGUCUCUCUCUCCUGACACGAUCUCUCGCUCUCUCUCUCUCUGCGUUCGUAUUUUCUGUGGAGUCAUCAAUGGAGUUCGAGGCAGUUGCAGCAGAACCCUAGCCCUCCCACGACGUCAAUGGCGGCAUCUUUCUUGCAUUUCUUCUGGGAUCAUCUUCAUGCCAUCUCUUGAGCUCGGAGCCGGGGACUUUCUCUCUCGGACGCCCGCAAGCUCUCUCUCCCUCUUGGGGGUUUCACAC